GCGGCGUUCUGUUUUCUUUGCAAGAUAUUUAUUUAACCAUUCACUUUAGAAAUCUGGUGCUACUAAGCUAAUGUUAUAUAAUUCUGCACUAUGUGCAGAAUUAUAUAACAUUAUUUGCUAGGUUUACUGGCCCUUUAAGCUAAAUACAAUCUGCUCUUAAUAUGUUGGCAUUCAAAAUGGGGAACAUUAUAGUUAUAUCAUUCUGGUGAUUUUUCGCCCCUGAAAAUGUAAUAUACAUUUAUCUUCCUUACUAUCUAUCUAUCUAUCUAUCUAUCUAUCUAUCUAUCUAUCUAUCUAUCUUUCUUUCUUUCUAUCUAUCUAUCUAUCUAUCUAUCUAAUCUAUCGAUCUUUUUCUAUUGAACAAUUGUAAUAAAAAGGAUUUUAAUUUGUUUUAAAAAUGUUGAGACUUAGCUGUUAUGUUCUUCUUUAGCAGCAUAAGAGAAAGGCUUUGUAAUUGCAAGGUGUUUACUGUCCCUUUAGAUUUUGGCUGGGUUUUCUUCAUUUAAAACUAAGAUCAGCUCACUAAGGUCAGUUCUCUAUGAGCAGUGACCAUUCAGCCAAUCUACCAUCAUUUACAUGGUGAAAAAAGGCAGCAUCAGGACUGGGCUAACACUUUGCUUUACAGCGACCCUGUGCAAUUUCAUCAUAAUAUCAUAGGAUUUCACUAGGAUCUUGCUUGGUUACAUAGUAGACUUCCUUAAAUUUAGAAGGAAACGAGAGUGAAUGUCUCUGUACCUGCCAAAUGCAUGUUCCCUUGUGAGUCCUGGGACAAGCUUCUUGAUUAGUGAUGUCGCAAACCUAAAAAUUUGGGUUCGCGAACGGCGGACGCGAACUUCCGCAAAAGUUCGCGAACGGGCGAACCUCCAUAGACUUCAAUAGGCAGGCGAAUUUUAAAACCCACAGGGACUCUUUCUGGCCACAAUAGUGAUGGAAAAGUUGUUUCAAGGGCACUAACACCUGGACUGUGGCAUGCCGGAGGGGGAUCCAUGGCAAAACUCCCAUGAAAAAUUACAUAGUUGAUGCAGAGUCUGGUUUUAAUCCAUAAAGGGCAUAAAUCACCUAACAUUCCUAAAUUGUUUGGAAUAACGUGCUUUAAAACAUCAGGUAUGAUGUUGUAUCGAUCAGGUAGUGUAAGGGUUACGCCCGCUUCACAGUGCGCAGUGUAGGUGAUAUACCUGCCCUGACCAUGCUUUGCAGACCAGUUAUCAGUAGUCAGAUGGACCCUUGCCCCAACACUGUGUGCCAGACAUGCCAUUAUAGCAGACUUAUAUGGCUUUGGCGUUGCUUUUUUAGAAGGCUGCUAAAUGCCACUGGGCACUACACAUGUUUUAUGCCCAGCAGUGAAGGGGUUAAUUAGGUAGCAUGUAGGCAGCUUGUAGAGUUAAUUUUAGCUUAAGUGUAGUGUAGUAGACAACCCAAAGUAUUGAUCUAGGCCCAUUUUGGUAUAUUUCAUGCCACCAUUUCACCGCCAAAUGCGAUCAAAUAAAAAAAAUUUUUCACUUUUUCACAAACUUUAGGUUUCUCACAGAAAUUAUUUACAAACAACUUAUGCAAUUAUGGCAUAAAUGGUUGUAAAUGCUUCUCUGGGAUCCCCUUUGUUCAGAAAUAGCAGACUUAUAUGGCUUUGGCGUUGCUUUUUGGUAAUUAGAAGGCUGCUAAAUGCCACUGUGCACCAUACGUGUUUUAUGCCCAGCAGUGAAGGGGUUAAUUAGGGAGCAUGUAGGCAGCUUGUAAAGUUAAUUUUAGCUUAAGUGUAGUGUAGUAGACAACCCAAAGUAUUGAUCUAGGCCCAUUUUGGUAUAUUUCAUGCCACCAUUUCACCGCCAAAUGCGAUCAAAUUUAAAAAAAAACUUACAUUUUUUCGCAAUUUUAGGUUUCUCACUGAAAUUAUUUACAAACAGCUUGUGCAAUUAUGGCACAAAUGGUUGUAAAUGGUUCUCUGGGAUCCCCUUUGUUCAGAAAUAGCAGACAUAUAUGACUUUGGCAUUGCUUUCUGGUAAUUAGAAGGCCGCUAAAUGCUGCUGCGCAUCACACGUGUAUUAUGGCUAACAGUGAAGGGGUUAAUUAGGUAGUUUGUAGAGAGCUUGCAGGGUUAAUUAUAGCUUUAGUAUAGAGAUCAGCCUCCCACCUGACACAUCAGACCCCCUGAUCCCUCCCAAACAGCUCCCUUCCCUCCCCCACCCCACAAUUGUCCCCGCCAUCUUAAGUACAGGCAGAAAGUCUGCCAGUACUAAAAUAAAAGGUUUUUAAAAUGUUUUAUUUUUUUAUAGCAUAUUUACAUAUGCUGUGGUGUAGCAUCCCCCCUUAGCCCCCAACCUCCCUGAUCCCCCCCAAAACAGCUCUCUAACCCUCCCCAUCUGCCUUAUUGGCGGCCAUCUUGGGUACUGGCAGCUGUCUGCUAUUAUUUCACAGUCAAAAAAGUGACACACGCUGGCAGGCAGGCAACUGCAAUUAGAUUACACUAGCAGACUGAUGUUUCACAGUCAAAAAAUUUUUUUUUUUUAAAUUUACACUACUGUUACAACAGAUAUGAGUGGUGGCACUGGGCAAGUGGGCCUGGCAGGCAGGCAACUGCAAUUAGAUUACACAGGAAAAAAAAAACAGACUGAUGUUCUAGCCCUAAAAAGGGCUUUUUGGGGUGCUGUCCUUACAGCAGAGAUCAGAUGAGUCCUUCAGGACUGUAGUGGACACUGAAUACACUAGCCUAGCUAUCGAUUUCCCUAUUAAAUCAGCAGCAGCUACACUGUCCCUCCUCUCACUAAGAAUACAGCUUCCGAAUGAAUCUAAAAUGGCUGCUGUCCAGGAGCUGGGAGGGUCUAGAAGGGAGGGUCUGCUGCCGAUUGGCUGGAAUCUGUCUGCAGAUUGUGAGAUACAGGGUCAAAGUUUUCUCAAUGAUGACGAAUAGGGGGCGGAUCGAACAUCGCAUAUGUUCGCCCACCGUUGCGAACGCGAACAAGCUAUGUUUGCCGGGAACUUUUCGCCGGCGAACAAUUCGAGACAUCACUAUUCUUGAUCUAUAAUGGGAUGUGGCCAUUGAGGGCAUUUUCAUGUAAAACAUUGUCCUUUUAAAUAAAGAUGUUCAUGUGUUAUUGUCUAGUCAGUGUUUACAGAUAUGGUUCACUUUUGAGUAAUUUGGCUUAUAGGUAAUGUCCUUAUAUCCUUUAUUUAGCUGAUAUGACACAUCAAUUCCUUAUGUUCUGUAUCUGCACAUGAGAUGAUAAUGAUAAAAAAACGUUCUUAUAGUGCUAAUAACAGAUGUGUAAGAAGCAUAUUAUACCAAUAUGCCAUUCUGUUUUAAAUUACGUUGAACACUUUGCUUUCAAAAAGAGCAACAACACGUGGCAUAGCAGUGCUUUGCUGCCCUUUCUGGGAAAAAUGGUAAAAUAGGUUUUAUCAUCUACAUCAUUUAUUUAGAAUGUUUGAGAAAUUCAGUCCCUUAGAGGAAGGUUUCUGGGUAAAAAUAUAACUAUGAAAUAAGGUUAUAAUAUUUAUUAUGAAAAAAUUAGAAUGUUUGAUAUGUAAAUCAAAGAUAAUUUGACAACAAGCACAAUACUUAUAACAGGAGGAUUUUAACGCAUAUUACUUUAUUUUAAUAGAUUAAAAAACAAAGUUAAAAAAAAAUAUACAAAAAAAACCUAUUGGGGCCUAUCUAUCAAGCUCCGAAAGGAGCUUGACGGCCCGUGUUUCUGGCGAGUCUUCAGACUGCUGCUCCAUAACCUGUCCGCCUGCUGUGAGCAGGCGGACAGACAUCGCCGGAAAUCAACCCGAUCGAGUACGAUCGGGCUGAUUGACACCUCCCUGCUGGCGGCCCAUUGGCCGCGAGUCUGCAGGGGGCGGCGUUGCACCAGCAGCUCUUGUGAGCUACUGGUGCAAUGCUGAAUACGGAGAGCGUAUUGCUCUCCGCAUUCAGCGAGGUCUGGCGGACCAGGUCCGCCAGACUUUGUUAAAUAGAGGCCAUUGUGUUAAAGAGACAUUAAACUCACAACAUAUAUUAGCAAUUACGCACUGAGCUGCAAAAUAAAUGAUAAACUAGUUAUUAGCAGCCUUUUUAUUAGCACCAUUUACAGGGUUUUGCAAAUCAAGAGGAGUUCUGGGAUACACCCCUAAUAAGAGUAAUUGUAAGAAAUAAAAGUAAUUUAAAAGUAAUUUUUGUAUCUAAUAAGCUAUUAAAAUAACCUAAAAAAAAAUACUUAUUUGACUCCCUGAAAAUAGUGCCCUUCCAUAUUUCAAAAGAGCUGUCAAUUAGCCCCAAAAUUUAGGCUCUCAUGCAGUAUUCCCAUGUUGGCUCUGGGAGGAAUAUAAGCAGGCUGUUUCAAAUGAUUAUGAAGUUCAAUAGAGUCUUUUAUACCCCUUUAAUAUACACCUUUAAUAUACAGAAAAUAAAAAUAGAAAAUAAAAGAUGGUCAGCAAUUCUCAUAAAUUGUAUAAUUUCUUUACUACACUUCCAUGAAAAGCAUUGGUAAAGUUAUAAGGGUUUUUGGGUGUUAAAGCAGUUUAAUUUGUUUUACUAAAGCUCACUAAGUAAAAAUAGGGUUAAUUGUUUCAUGAAAAAUAUUUCAAUUAACAAAAGUAAAACAGGUCCCUCUUCCUCUUGUACUGUCUGUUAUGUUUUUCUAUUUUAUCACAAAUCCUUGUCAUUGUAUACCCUUAUCUCUGUACCAAGCGCUACGGAAUUUAGUGACGCUAUACAAAUAAAUUAUAAUAUUAAUAAUUUACACACUCACAGAAAUGUACAUUAUAAAAUUAUUAUGUAAGGUAUUAUUUUGCCAAUUAUAAUAUGAACACAUUUUUUAUUUGGUAACAGAUAAAGUCAAAAAAAUAUGAUAACUCCAAUGUUUUCUUUACAUAUUUGUUUGUAUUGUUUUCCGAUACAGUAAUAUGUCUAACAUUUUUUGUUUCUAUAAACAUUAAAGACAACAAAUUGGAAACACUAUGUAAGAGAUAUUAACCUAGCCAAUGCAUUAAGAAUUUAGAAAUAUUAAAAAGUUACAACAGAAUAUCAUGUUUACUACAAUUUGUAAUGUGUUUUAAAUGCACUCAAUUUUAAAUUAGUUUAUAAAAGUGUAACUUUAAUAUGGAAUGCAAACUAAUGGAAGCCUUUUAAGAUUGUACAUAUAUUUAUCUUUUUUGGUACAUGGAAACCUGCAGAUUCAUAUAAAUAAAAUAAUUACAGUUUA